rnacentral:lncRNA from 1 species
UUUUCUUCUUUUUCUUUAAAAGAAGAAGAAGAAGAAAUGGAGACUGAACCUAAUGAAAUAUCAAAAAAUAAUAGUCUUCAGAAAGCAGCUACUAAUACUAGUAAUUUGGAAAAAGAUUUGGUGGACUCAGAUCUUCCAGGUUCAAACAAAAAUAAUAAAAAUAAGAUGAAUGAUUCAACAUCAAAUAGAAAAGAAGUCUCAAUUAAUGAAUAGUCUGUAUUAAUGAUGUUUAAGUGCGGAAAGGAAGAAAAAAACCUACUGUCACUGUAAAGAAGGAACCAAAACAGUACCUUAUAUUCUUAAAAAGAAGUUAUAUUUUUUUAAAAUUAUAAAUGAUAAGAAAAUACUAUUGAGGUUGAUUCAUAGAAUCCUUUUUAGUCCUAUAACGUUUUAUUUAUAAGAAUAUUUUAUUUGUGCUAUUAAUUAUAGAGAAUAA